UCCUCAAACAAACAAAAAAAAUAAAUCAAAGUGCAGGGCCAAGUACAGAUAUUAUCGAUUGUUCCGCAACCUUUCUGCAGACCACCUGAAUGGAGGCUGUGGACCAGUUUGAGAACCUCUGCACUAGGGUGUGUGUCAAGAUUUUGUGCAUGGGGCUUGUGGGAUGGAGGGUGGGAUUUCCAAAAUGGCUGCAGAAUUUAAACAUCCAAUUCCAAUCAUUUGUCAAUGGGAUUUUGGAGCCCAUUUCUUCCAUGUCUCUCAAAGUCCCAGGUGAUGGCUUUCUGCAGAAUAGAGGAAAAAGGAAUUCUAAGUGUUCUUUCAAAGUCGGCAGACUGUUCAGCUUCAGAGUUUUCAGCCAGCCUGCAACAGAUAAGUAGAUAAAAGUAGCACCACAACUCAUCCUUGAAAAGUUUAGCCCUUCCCAAGAAGAGGGUCCAACCUCAAGGGCAAAAAAUCAGGCAUCUUAAGAAAACUUUCAAGCAAGGAAAAAUACUUUUAUACCUUUGACUACUUGUCAGAGUGAAAUCAAAGUCCUGUAAUCAAGCCUCAAAAUAGUCUAUGAAGAAAAAGUAGUAAGUCUUUUUUCCAUUUUAGAAAGGGAAAUAUUCUGUGAAAAAAACCCCAAACCAAAACAAAAAACUUUAAGACAGUGGUUCUUGGCCUCUUCCAUAUCAACCUUUCAUGCUACAAAAGAAAAGCAUUGCAACUAACCAUCAGGAAAAAAAAA